rnacentral:rRNA from 1 species
GAUGAACGCUGGCGGCGUGCCUAAUACAUGCAAGUCGAGCGAACGGACGAGAAGCUUGCUUCUCUGAUGUUAGCGGCGGACGGGUGAGUAACACGUGGAUAGCCUACCUAUAAGACUGGGAUAACUUCGGGAAACCGGAGCUAAUACCGGAUAAUAUUUUGAACCGCAUGGUUCAAAAGUGAAAGACGGUCUUGCUGUCACUUAUAGAUGGAUCCGCGCUGCAUUAGCUAGUUGGUAAGGUAACGGCUUACCAAGGCAACGAUGCAUAGCCGACCUGAGAGGGUGAUCGGCCACACUAGAACUGAGACACGGUCCAGACUCCUACGGGAGGCAGCAGUAGGGAAUCUUCCGCAAUGGGCGAAAGCCUGACGGAGCAACGCCGCGUGAGUGAUGAAGGUCUUCGGAUCGUAAAACUCUGUUAUUAGGGAAGAACAUAUGUGUAAGUAACUGUGCACAUCUUGACGGUACCUAAUCAGAAAGCCACGGCUAACUACGUG